UACGGAGGAUGCGAGCGUUAUCCGGAUUUAUUGGGUUUAAAGGGUGCGUAGGCGGGCUUUUAAGUCAGCGGUAAAAAUUCGGGGCUCAACCCCGUCCGGCCGUUGAAACUGGGGGUCUUGAGUGGGCGAGAAGAAGGCGGAAUGCGUGGUGUAGCGGUGAAAUGCAUAGAUAUCACGCAGAACCCCGAUUGCGAAGGCAGCCUUCUGGCGCCCUACUGACGCUGAGGCACGAAAGUGCGGGGAUCGAACAGG
rnacentral:rRNA from 1 species